rnacentral:lncRNA from 1 species
GGUUAGGGCAUUUUUUAUUUUUUUAUUUGAGGACUGCUCUCCAUGCAGUUAUAACAUCUCAACUGUCACAACCCUUGGAAAUUUAGAGUUGUGCCAGCUCACAUCGCAAAUAAAUAUUUUUAUUUGGCAUAUCUUUGUAAUCUUUGCACUGUGUUUGGAAAUUUUAAAAUUGUUCCAGCGUCUGUGAUGUCCGCUUAAAUUGUAUGAACUUUCGAGAUUUUGAUAGUGUCUCAAUUUGAAUAUAUUGACAUGAUUCAUUUGACAUCGUGCUAUUACCGAAGAAGGAUAUCUGUUAUCCGAAAUAUCUAAUAUUUGUUCAUUUUAUAGUUAUUUAAUGGUGAUGUU